GCGUCGGAAGUGCAAUGGUUAGCAUGCACACCCGGAAAGAGUGAGAUCUGGGUUCGAAUCCCGGCUGACGCA